ensembl:snRNA U6 U6 spliceosomal RNA
GUAAUCACACUUAUACUAACAUUGGAAUAAUACCGAGAAGAGUAGCAUCACCCCUGCAAAAGGAUGCAACACAAAUUCAUGAAGCAUUCCAUAUUUUU